rnacentral:rRNA from 1 species
GACGAACGCUGGCGGCGUGCUUAACACAUGCAAGUCGAACGGUGAUGACAGAGCUUGCUUUGUCUGAUCAGUGGCGAACGGGUGAGUAACACGUGAGUAACCUGCCCCAGACUCUGGGAUAACCUCGGGAAACCGGGGCUAAUACCGGAUACGCGACUCCGCUGCAUGGUGAGGGUUGGGAAAGUUUUUCGGUCUGGGGUGGGCUCGCGGCCUAUCAGCUUGUUGGUGAGGUAGGGGCUCACCAAGGCGACGACGGGUAGCCGGCCUGGGAGGGCGACCGGCCACACUGGAACUGAGACACGGUCCAGACUCCUACGGGAGGCAGCAGUGGGGAAUAUUGCACAAUGGGCGCAAGCCUGAUGCAGCGACGCCGCGUGGGGGAUGAAGGCCUUCGGGUUGUAAACCCCUUUCAGCAGGGAAGAAGCGUGAGUGACGGUACCUGCAGAAGAAGCGCCGGCUAACUACGUGCCAGCAGCCGCGGUAACAC